GAUGAACGCUGGCGGCGUGCCUAAUACAUGCAAGUCGAGCGAACAGAUGAGGAGCUUGCUCCUCUGACGUUAGCGGCGGACGGGUGAGUAACACGUGGAUAACCUACCUAUAAGACUGGGAUAACUUCGGGAAACCGGAGCUAAUACCGGAUAAUAUAUUGAACCGCAUGGUUCAAUAGUGAAAGACGGUUUUGCUGUCACUUAUAGAUGGAUCCGCGCCGCAUUAGCUAGUUGGUAAGGUAACGGCUUACCAAGGCAACGAUGCGUAGCCGACCUGAGAGGGUGAUCGGCCACCCUGGAACUGAGACCCGGUCCAGGCUCCUACGGGAGGCCGCAGUAGGGAAUCUUCCGCAAUGGGCGAAAGCCUGACGGAGCCACGCCGCGUGAGUGAUGAAGGUCUUCGGAUCGUAAAACUCUGUUAUUAGGGAAGAACAAAUGUGUAAGUAACUAUGCACGUCUUGACGGUACCUAAUCAGAAAGCCACGGCUAACUACGU
rnacentral:rRNA from 1 species